rnacentral:lncRNA from 1 species
UGGCUUUUUACCAUUUGUCCUCUACUUUUCAUAUUUAAUGACACUUGACAUGCAACCAUAAUAGAUGUCUUGAUGUCUCAGUGGAUUAAUUGACCCGCGAACAGCCUUUAUUAGUGAUCUACACAAGUUGGACGGCAGGAUAAGACCGUUUACGCAUCUAAUUAAUUUUUCAAAAUAGAUCAAGACAAUCAGCCAUUAGUUGGAAUAGAUGGUUAUCUGCUGGAAGAUCUCGGAAGGUCAUAAAUAAUAAUUUUUCCUCC